rnacentral:rRNA from 1 species
UACGAAGGGGGCUAGCGUUGUUCGGAAUCACUGGGCGUAAAGGGCGCGUAGGCGGCCUGAUAAGUCGGGGGUGAAAGCCUGUGGCUCAACCACAGAAUUGCCUUCGAUACUGUCGGGCUUGAGACCGGAAGAGGUAAGUGGAACUGCGAGUGUAGAGGUGAAAUGCGUUGAUAUUGGCAGGAACGCCGACGGUGAAAACAGAUGACUGGGGACCUGCUGACGCUGAGACACGAAAGCCAGGGGAGCAAACGGG